rfam:Cavia porcellus supercont2_5 genomic scaffold, whole genome shotgun sequence.
AACCCUGGCAAUGGGCAGAGACACCUUAUUGCUGGUGUUGCCCUUACAUCAAUCAGGGGCAGAGCAGAUGACAAUCCUUUGUUCAUCCUAGCUGAUGCCUGGAUUGGUGGCCAAAGCUGUUUCAUGCCUAGGGCACAUAA